GACAGAGGUGCCGAGCGUUAGGCGGAAUCACUGGGCUUAAAGCGCGUGUAGGCGGCCCUGCAAGUCGGGUGUGAAAUCCCACGGCUCAACCGUGGAAGUGCAUUCGAAACUGCAGGGCUAGAGUCCUGGAGAGGAAGGUGGAAUGCUUGGUGUAGAGGUGAAAUUCGUAGAUAUCAAGCGGAACACCGGUGGCGAAGGCGGCCUUCUGGACAGUGACUGACGCUGAGACGCGAAAGCGUGGGGAGCAAACAGG
rnacentral:rRNA from 1 species